rnacentral:miRNA from 1 species
AACCCUCCCUCCCAGACCCUCCCACCUCCUGGACAGCUCACUAAGAAUGCAGCUUCAAAAUGGAUGCUGUCCAGGAGGUGGGAGGGUCUGGGAGGGAGGGUC